UACGGCCAUACCACCCUGAAUGCGCCCGAUCUCAGAAGCUAAGCAGGGUCAGGCCUGGUUAGUACUUGGAUGGGAGAAAUCCUCUCAAAAUUCAGUAUAAAGUUGUGA
rnacentral:rRNA from 1 species